rnacentral:piRNA from 1 species
UGAGUCUUUACCUUCUCAAAGCCUAU